UACGUAGGGCGCAAGCGUUAUCCGGAAUUAUUGGGCGUAAAGAGCUCGUAGGCGGUUUGUCGCGUCUGCCGUGAAAGUCCGGGGCUCAACUCCGGAUCUGCGGUGGGUACGGGCAGACUAGAGUGCGGUAGGGGAGACUGGAAUUCCUGGUGUAGCGGUGAAAUGCGCAGAUAUCAGGAGGAACGCCCGUGGCGAAAGCACUCUGCUGGGCCGACACUGACACUGAGAGACGAAAGCUAGGGGAGCGAAUGGG
rnacentral:rRNA from 1 species